AUUGAACGCUGGCGGCAGGCCUAACACAUGCAAGUCGAACGGUAACAGGAAACAGCUUGCUGUUUCGCUGACGAGUGGCGGACGGGUGAGUAAUGUCUGGGAAACUGCCUGAUGGAGGGGGAUAACUACUGGAAACGGUAGCUAAUACCGCAUAACGUCGCAAGACCAAAGAGGGGGACCCUCGGGCCUCUUGCCAUCGGCUGUGCCCAGAUGGGAUUAGCUUGUUGGUGGGGUAACGGCUCACCAAGGCGACGAUCCCUAGCUGGUCUGAGAGGAUGACCAGCCACACGGGAACUGAGACACGGUCCAGACUCCUACGGGAGGCAGCAGUGGGGAAUAUUGCACAAUGGGUGAAAGCCUGAUGCAGCCAUGCCGCGUGUAUGAAGAAGGCCUUCGGGUUGUAAAGUACUUUCAGCGGGGAGGAAGGGAGUAAAGUUAAUACCUUUGCUCAUGGACGUUACCCGCAGAAGAAGCACCGGCUAACUCCGU
rnacentral:rRNA from 1 species